AUUGAACGCUGGCGGCAGGCCUAACACGUGCAAGUCGAACGGUAACAGGAAGCAGCUUGCUGCUUUGCUGACGAGUGGCGGACGGGUGAGUAAUGUCUGGGAAACUGCCCGAUGGAGGGGGAUAACUACUGGAAACGGUAGCUAAUACCGCAUAACGUCGCAAGACCAAAGAGGGGGACCUUAGGGCCUCUUGCCAUCGGAUGUGCCCAGAUGGGAUUAGCUAGUAGGUGGGGUAACGGCUCACCUAGGCGACGAUCCCUAGCUGGUCUGAGAGGAUGACCAGCCACACUGGAACUGAGACACGGUCCAGACUCCUACGGGAGGCAGCAGUGGGGAAUAUUGCACAAUGGGCGCAAGCCUGAUGCAGCCAUGCCGCGUGUAUGAAGAAGGCCUUCGGGUUGUAAAGUACUUUCAGCGGGGAGGAAGGGAGUAAAGUUAAUACCUGUGCUCAUUGACGUUACCCGCAGAAGAAGCACCGGCUAACUCCGUG
rnacentral:rRNA from 1 species